AUUGAACGCUGGCGGCAUGCCUUACACAUGCAAGUCGAACGGAUUCAGGGGCUUGCUCCUGAGUUAGUGGCGAACGGGUGAGUAAUGCAUCGGAACGUGCCCAGUCGUGGGGGAUAACUACUCGAAAGAGUAGCUAAUACCGCAUACGUCCUGAGGGAGAAAGCGGGGGAUCGCAAGACCUCGCGCGAUUGGAGCGGCCGAUGUCGGAUUAGCUAGUUGGCGGGGUAAAGGCCCACCAAGGCGACGAUCCGUAGCUGGUCUGAGAGGAUGAUCAGCCACACUGGAACUGAGACACGGUCCAGACUCCUACGGGAGGCAGCAGUGGGGAAUUUUGGACAAUGGGCGAAAGCCUGAUCCAGCCAUGCCGCGUGAGUGAAGAAGGCCUUCGGGUUGUAAAGCUCUUUCGGACGGAAAGAAAUCGCACGGGAUAACACCCUGUGCGGAUGACGGUACCGUAAGAAGAAGCACCGGCUAACUACGUGCCAGCCGCCGCGGUAACAC
rnacentral:rRNA from 1 species